GGAGUUAGCCGGUGCUUCUUCUGUGAGUGAUGUCCUUCCUGCCGGCUAUUAACCCGCAGGCCUUCUUCCUCACUGAAAGUGCUUUACAACCCGAAGGCCUUCUUCACACACGCGGCAUGGCUGGAUCAGGGUUGCCCCCAUUGUCCAAUAUUCCCCACUGCUGCCUCCCGUAGGAGUCUGGGCCGUGUCUCAGUCCCAGUGUGGCUGAUCAUCCUCUCAGACCAGCUACGGAUCGUCGCCUUGGUGAGCCGUUACCUCACCAACCAGCUAAUCCGACAUAGGCUCAUCCGAUAGCGCGAGGCCCGAAGGUCCCCCGCUUUCCCCCGUAGGGCGUAUGCGGUAUUAGCCUGGGUUUCCCCCAGGUUAUCCCCCACUACCCGGGCAGAUUCCUAUGCAUUACUCACCCGUCCGCCGCUCGCCACCAGGGAGCAAGCUCCCCGUGCCUGCCGCUCGACUUAGCAUGUGUUAGGCCUGCCGCCAGCGUUCAAUCUGAGCAUGAUACAACUACUGA
rnacentral:rRNA from 1 species